UUUCUUUUUUUUUUUUUUGUAUUUUUAGUAGAGACAGAGUUUCACUAUGUUGGCCAGGCUCAUCUCGAAUGCCUGACCUUGUGAUCCACCAGCCUCGGCCUCCCAAAGUGCUGGGAUGACAGGCAUGAGCCACUGCGCCCAGCCUAGGUCCUGAUUUUUAAAGCAACUCCCCUGUUCUGCCUUCAAUAAUGGAACCAUGCCCAGCCCCAUGGCCACAUUCUUUCUACUUAAAGUGUGGUUCAUGGACCAGCAGCAAUGGGGUCACCUAAGAGCUCAUAAGAACUGCAGAACUUGAGAUUCUGCCUUGAUGACAGAUCUAAAUACUCAGAAUUUUUUUUUUUUUUUUUUUUGAGACGGAGUCUCGCUCUGUCGCCCAGGCUGGAGUGCAGUGGCGAGAUCUUGGCUCACUGCAAGCUCCGCAUCCCGGGUUCACAUCAUUCUCCUCCCUCAGCCUCCCAAGUAGCUGGGACUACAGGCACCUGCCACCACGCCCAGCUUUUUUGCAUUUUUAUAGAGGCGGGAUUUCACCGUGGUCUCGAUCUCCUAACCUCGUGA
rnacentral:lncRNA from 10 species